rnacentral:rRNA from 1 species
AGCGAACGCUGGCGGCAGGUCUAACACAUGCAAGUCGAACGGACCCUUCGGGGUUAGUGGCGGACGGGUGAGUAACACGUGGGAACGUGCCUUUAGGUUCGGAAUAGCUCCUGGAAACGGGUGGUAAUGCCGAAUGUGCCCUUCGGGGGAAAGAUUUAUCGCCUUUAGAGCGGCCCGCGUCUGAUUAGCUAGUUGGUGAGGUAAUGGCUCACCAAGGCGACGAUCAGUAGCUGGUCUGAGAGGAUGACCAGCCACAUUGGGACUGAGACACGGCCCAAACUCCUACGGGAGGCAGCAGUGGGGAAUCUUGCGCAAUGGGCGAAAGCCUGACGCAGCCAUGCCGCGUGGAUGAUGAAGGUCUUAGGAUUGUAAAAUCCUUUCACCGGUGAAGAUAAUGACUGUAGCCGGAGAAGAAGCCCCGGCUAACUUCGUGCCAGCCGCCGCGGUAAAAC